ensembl:lncRNA
GAGGAGACUUCAACCCCUCAAACACUCAUAUGGGCAUUUCUGACACAGAAACAUGCACACACACACACACACACACACACACACACAGAUACACACAGAUACACACACAGAUACACAAACAGACACACACACACACACACACACACACAAACAGAUACACACAGAUACACACACAGAUACACAAACAGACACACACAGAUACACACACACACACACGGGAUCUUUCUACACACUCUUGUCACACGUGUGUUCGGGCUCAAAGGCAUCAGUCUGUAAACCACCGACAAUAGAGAUGCCAGCUAGCCCUCAUCCCACUGAAGAGCUGCAGCAGCUGGACACUGAUCCAGAACCCAGUCAACCCCUCAGCAGACGUUUAAAUACUGUGACCUCACCCCCUGCUGGACCCUGCUGCUCCAAUCCGGUCCGGCGUGGCUGCUUUAAGAGCUGAGGGAUGUGACAGCUGGACUCACAGAGACUUCAGGUGAACCUUGUGCAGAGCUCCGGUCGUCCCCAGUCUUCCAGCUGUCGUGUUUCUGCUCUAAACGGCUCAGAUGGACCGAUCCGCACAGGAGCUGUUUCUGAACUUUAUGAUUGUGUUGAUCACAGUUCUGCUCAUGUGGUUACUGGUCAAACAAUAUCAGGAUGCAUGAAGAGCGAAGAGCUCAUUCCUCACCACCAUCAUCAUCAUCAUCAUCGUCCUCAGCUGUGAAGAUGAGCUCCAGCACCGGACGAUGAUGUUUCUGCAGACGGAUGGGAGAUGUGCCAGUCAGGAUGGAUCGUCUCGUGAUGCCUUCAAAAGCAGCACAGUUUGUCCGUAUGGGUUAUUGUUAUGUGUUAAAUGUUAAAUGAUUUGAUACUCUGGAUGUUUAAUGUGAUAAAUUGGGAAAAACACUCAAAUUAACUGCCGAAAGAGUACCAGCAAUGUGUUGAGUAAAGACAUUGUUUUAUUGGUUUAAAUAAAGAACUCUUUGGCAAUGCAACGGUGUGUGUUUGUGUUACGGCAUGUAUCUCUAGAUCCAUAUAUCAACCUCACAUUAAGAGACAGAAUUACACCUCUCGACAUGAACUUCUAAAUAAAUAUUCUGUACUUCAGCUGUUCAGAGAUCAGUCGCGUCAUUCCUCGAUCAGGAAACAUCAGACACAAGCGAGCGUGCGUGUUCUUCUGCUCGCGGACGCAAACUCUGAUGAAGGCGCUUCGAUGGAGAGAGGAUUGACGCUCACGCUUCA